CACCCAGAACCAUUGCAAAGCUGAGAAUAGAUUACAGGACAGUAUUUUAUGAAAAUAAAAUAAAAUAAAAUAAAAUAAAAUAAAAUAAAAUAAAAUAAAAUAAAAUAAUAACAAAAAGAAUUUCAAUAAGAAAGUAGUUUCUAUACAUGACUGAUAAUUAACAUUAAUAAAAUUUACAGGUGAAUAUUGAUUCAGUUAUUGAUUGUGUGGUACAUUUACUUAACUAUGAAAAUUAUUUCAAUAAUAACUUAAUUAAUAACAUUACACUUCAGCCACUCAGGCCAUCAUUUUGUUAGCAUCACAAUGUUGACACUUUGAGAGGAAAUCAUUUGUCAGAUGUUCUACAAUUGUAUUUGCACACUGAACAGAGAAUGUAUUUAAACAUGUUAAAAACAAUUCCUCACAGCAUCACAAUUUUUUAGCGUCUAUCCCCCACUCACUAAUGAAACUCUCUUCACAGAACAAACAACAUUUGUACGGUGUCAGAAAACAAGCCUUUCUCCAAACCUAAUAUGCCAUCACCAAAGAGUGAGCCAAAAUCCUCAGGUUAUGAUCAUGAGGCUGUUUACUCCAACAUGGAAGAUCUCAACAUAUAUGGAAAUAUCUGAUGAUAAUGAACAACACAAAGUGUGUGUGUGUUUUUGUGUGUGUGUUUUAAAUGCUUAAAAUAAUAUUAAUCAGAUUGUAUGCUUUCAAAUGAAAUCACUAUUUUUUUAGUCUGUAACUGGUAUUGACUGAUUUUAUUAAUGUUGUUGUGUCUUUUCUACUCUGCCAUUUAUCAACACUUUGCAGCAUAUUUGUGUGAAAACAUAACUAUAAAUAUAAAAGUUAUAUCCAUUUAUCAGUUUAUUUAUCAAUUUCAUUAUCCUUAUCAGUAUCAUACUGCAUAUUUUACAUUAAGUUUGUAAAAUAUGCAGUAAUGUAGCAUUGUUGUUGGAAAACAAAUUUGCACCUUUGUAUAAAAUUCUUACACUGUUACCAGUAUUGACAGCAAUCUGCAUGAACAGAUUGUGAUGAAACCAAAUGUUUUUAGAAAUAAUAAUCUUUGUAACAAUGAUUGUUAAAGGAAACGAGUAUAACCCCAAUCAGGCACAACAGAAUGAAUGAUUAGCAGUGUUACUGUCUUGACUGGUUAGGCAGGAGGAAUAGAAGCUGAUCUAAAUGCAACUCUUUCACUUUAUUUAUCAAACAACACCAUACACUGAACUAAGCAGACCGAGGGCAAAAAGUAAAAUGGCUAAUGAGAACAAAACUAGAAACAGGUGUGCAACAUAAUCAGGAAUGACAACAAAUGGGUAUCAGGAACAAAUGAAACAUGAGAAACUAAAGUUUUGUACUUUGUUUUUAAAUUUACCACUUGUAUAUUAUAAAGACCUCUCUUGUCAG